UUCCUGCUUUGGUAGGACAUAUUCAACAAUUGGAAUGAUGCAGCAUGACCCCUGCUCAAGAAUGACAUGCCAGUUUGUGAGGCAUGCUGAAUUUGC
ensembl:snRNA U6 U6 spliceosomal RNA